AAGAACSCCUGNGUGGUUAAUMCCCGCCAGGAAAGACAUCACUCGCAGAAGAAGCACCGGMUAACUCCGUGCCAGCAGCCGCGGUAAUACGGAGGGUGCAAGCGUUAAUCGGAAUUACUGGGCGUAAAGCGCGCGUAGGUGGCUUGAUAAGCCGGUUGUGAAAGCCCCGGGCUCAACCUGGGAACGGCAUCCGGAACUAUUAAGCUAGAGUGCAGGAGAGGAAGGUAGAAUUCCCGGUGUAGCGGUGAAAUGCGUAGAGAUCGGGAGGAAUACCAGUGGCGAAGGCGGCCUUCUGGACUGACACUGACACUGAGGUGCGAAAGCGUGGGUAGCAAACAGGAUUAGAUACCCUGGUAGUCCACGCCGUAAACGAUGUCGACCAGCCGUUGGGUGCCUAGCGCACUUUGUGGCGAAGUUAACGCGAUAAGUCGACCGCCUGGGGAGUACGGCCGCAAGGUUAAAACUCAAAUGAAUUGACGGGGGCCCGCACAAGCGGUGGAGCAUGUGGUUUAAUUCGAUGCAACGCGAAGAACCUUACCUACCCUUGACAUCCUGCGAACUUGGUAGAGAUACCUUGGUGCCUUCGGGAGCGCAGARACAGGUGCUGCAUGGCUGUCGUCAGCUCSUGUUGUGAAAWGUUGGNGUUAARU
rnacentral:rRNA from 1 species